GAUGAACGCUGGCGGCGUGCCUAAUACAUGCAAGUCGAGCGAACGGACGAGAAGCUUGCUUCUCUGAUGUUAGCGGCGGACGGGUGAGUAACACGUGGAUAACCUACCUAUAAGACUGGGAUAACUUCGGGAAACCGGAGCUAAUACCGGAUAAUAUUUUGAACCGCAUGGUUCAAAAGUGAAAGACGGUCUUGCUGUCACUUAUAGAUGGAUCCGCGCUGCAUUAGCUAGUUGGUAAGGUAACGGCUUACCAAGGCAACGAUGCAUAGCCGACCUGAGAGGGUGAUCGGCCACACUGGAAGUGAGACACGGUCCAGACUCCUGCGGGAGGCAGCAGUAGGGAAUCUUCCGCAAUGGGCGAAAGCCUGACGGAGCAACGCCGCGUGAGUGAUGAAGGUCUUCGGAUCGUAAAACUCUGUUAUUAGGGAAGAACAUAUGUGUAAGUAACUGUGCACAUCUUGACGGUACCUAAUCAGAAAGCCACGGCUAACUACGUG
rnacentral:rRNA from 1 species